UUUGCAGACUUUGGAUAUGGAUCUCCUUACCUCAUGGGAAUUCUAACUGUAGCUGGUCUACAGCCAUUGCUAGUUUUUGGUAAUUCCAGUACCUUAUGAUUUUAGGUUUGGCAUCUAUUUCUCAAAAGCAGAAGAAACACUGAAUGAGUGUAUAUUAUUGACAUGGGCAUAGGCAUGUGAAGGACUUCAAUGUCUCAGACCCAUAGGCAUGGCAAAGCCUUCUCCUGCUGUGAAUAUUUUUGUUAGAAAAAUGUUGACCUUUAGCUAACCCAGACUGUACAGUAAGGAUCAACUGGAGCUUCCUUCUCUAAGAUGACUGUGACAUGAGGCUGCUUCUAUACAGAGACCUUCUACAGAGACUAUCUAAGCUCUCUCUGUCCCCUCUUUCAAUCAGUUUCUGGGCUGCUAUUGGUACAUCUUUGUCAGAGCACAGAACUCCCAACCCCAGCUUUUCUGCAAGUGUGCCUGUUGUUUCUUCACUCCCUGAAACCAUUUAGAUCAAUCCAUAAGCCAGGAACAAAAAUACUGAGUAAAAAUAGGAUGGACAAGAAAGGUGGAGUGAGAAGAGAGUCAUUCAGGUGGCUACAGAAUUAAAAGAGGGCAGAAGGUGUGCAGCAAGGAAACAAUUUCCUAAACAUGUCAAAGGUGAUCUUGCAUUUCGUCUCAUACACAAAGGACUCCUCUUUGUCUCAGGAAAAGAAUAAAGGAAGGUUUCUCAUGUUCAUCCAUUCCCAGACUGAGCCCAGAGGAGUCAGACUCGAUGUUAAAAUUUGGACUUGCAGAUCUAAGGCUUCCAAGUAGGAUGAAGUCACUGAAGGUUAUCACCUGUUUCUCUCCAACAAAACAAUAAAUGGAUGAAAAAUUCUGUCCAGAAGGCUUUUCUUUGAACACUGCACAACUGCAGCCAAUUAUGCGCACAAUGCGAGGGUUUUUGAAGUGGAGAACCUGCAAAAGGGUGACGAAGGAGAAGGACACAGCUUCUGUCUUGGUGUCAAAGUCACAUUCUUAUCGCAGUUUCUACAGCUGCUCUGAUUCACAGGAACUUGGCAAUAAAGCUGUGAUUAAACCCA